GCAUUGGUGGUUCAGUGGUAGAAUUCUCACCUUCCAUGUGGGAGAUCCUGGUUCAAUUCCUGGCCGAUGCA
rnacentral:tRNA from 1 species